GCAGGACGGUGGCCAUGGAAG
rnacentral:ncRNA from 3 species